AUGCCCCAUUUUUUAAGGCUGUUGUGCAGGUGAAAGAACACAGCAACUCUGGGUAGGUGUAUAGGCAAACACUUACAACAUGGACCUCUCCCAUUUGCCUUGUCU